rnacentral:rRNA from 1 species
CCCCGGUAAACGGCGGCCGUAACUAUAACGGUCCUAAGGUAGCGAAAUUCCUUGUCGGGUAAGUUCCGACCUGCACGAAUGGCGUAAUGAUGGCCAGGCUGUCUCCACCCGAGACUCAGUGAAAUUGAACUCGCUGUGAAGAUGCAGUGUACCCGCGGCAAGACGGAAAGACCCCGUGAACCUUUACUAUAGCUUGACACUGAACAUUGAGCCUUGAUGUGUAGGAUAGGUGGGAGGCUUUGAAGUGUGGACGCCAGUCUGCAUGGAGCCGACCUUGAAAUACCACCCUUUAAUGUUUGAUGUUCUAACGUGGACCCGUAAUCCGGGUUGCGGACAGUGUCUGGUGGGUAGUUUGACUGGGGCGGUCUCCUCCUAAAGAGUAACGGAGGAGCACGAAGGUUGGCUAAUCCUGGUCGGACAUCAGGAGGUUAGUGCAAUGGCAUAAGCCAGCUUGACUGCGAGCGUGACGGCGCGAGCAGGUGCGAAAGCAGGUCAUAGUGAUCCGGUGGUUCUGAAUGGAAGGGCCAUCGCUCAACGGAUAAAAGGUACUCCGGGGAUAACAGGCUGAUACCGCCCAAGAGUUCAUAUCGACGGCGGUGUUUGGCACCUCGAUGUCGGCUCAUCACAUCCUGGGGCUGAAGUAGGUCCCAAGGGUAUGGCUGUUCGCCAUUUAAAGUGGUACGCGAGCUGGGUUUAGAACGUCGUGAGACAGUUCGGUCCCUAUCUG